rnacentral:rRNA from 1 species
AGUCACUGACAUUAGACUACCCGCGUAGUCCCAGCCGUAAACUAUGCGCGUUAGGUGUAUCGGUGACCACGAGUUACCGAGGUGCCGAAGGGAAACCGUGAAACGUGCCGCCGUGGGAAGUACGGUCGCAAGGCUAGAAACUUAAAGGAAUUGGCGGGGAGCACCACAACGGGUGGAGCCUGCGGUUUAAUUGGACUCAACGCCGGGAAGCUCACCGGAUAAGACAGCGGAAUGAUUGCCGGGCUGAAGACUCUGCAUGACUAGCUG